UGUUCAGGGAUGGGAAUCGAACCCACAGUGUUCCGCUUACCAGGCAGAUGCCAUGUCCACUAGGUUCGAUUCCCAUCCCUGGAC